rnacentral:lncRNA from 1 species
AUAUGGAGAUUUUGAAAAUAAUAAAUGUUGGGCCUUUUUCUUUUUUUGCCUUCAGAGUCAGAUUUCCAUUCCUCUGCACCCAUGUGGAAUUCAAAUUAAAAAGACAAGAGAUUGAGGAGGAGAGAAAGAAAGAAAGAAACAAAGAAGAGGGGGAAAAAAGAAAGAAAAAACAAAGGGGUAUCCAUAAAGAUGUUCAGUCUUGUGACAGACUGGAAAAACAGAACCAACCAUGGACUGACCAAAGGGGUACGGAAUAUUUGUGCAUCAGUACUUGAGAGCACCUCCCUGCAGCGAUCACAAGACUUGAUAAGCAUGGCUGUCAUCACAGUGAGUAAAACAUUGCAUCCAAUAUGGGUAGCUUCCAGAAAAUGCUGUUACUUAGUUCAUUUUCUUAUUGC